rnacentral:misc_RNA from 1 species
UCGAGUCCGACGCGCCGCGGGGAGCGCGCGAGCGCCCCCGCGGAUCGUACGUCUUCCCUGUGCACCCAUGGUAGGACCUCGCGGGGCCUACGUAGGUCGUCCCUCGGUCGAAAGUCGGUAGACUGCGUGACGUAGCACGA